UGUCGUUAAUUGUGUUUUAUUUAUAAUCAGAAUUUCUUUUGAAUUAGAAUGAACUUAGUCUUAAUAAAUUUACUGUGGUCAUGUUACAGUAAUAUUGGAUGUAGGGGCGGGGCGGGGUCAAAUAGCUCCGCCUUUAGUGUUUCAACUAGGUCCUGUAAGCGAUUGUAAUAUGUCACGCGCAAACCUCGUCUUUUACUUGUUCAAUCAUCCUCAAAUUAAGACAUGUCUGGAAGAGGCAAAGGCGGUAAAGGACUAGGGAAAGGAGGCGCUAAGCGUCACCGUAAAGUUCUACGUGACAACAUCCAGGGAAUCACCAAACCCGCCAUCCGUCGUCUCGCUCGCCGUGGCGGUGUGAAGCGUAUCUCUGGCCUGAUCUACGAGGAGACUCGUGGAGUGUUGAAGGUGUUUCUGGAGAAUGUUAUCCGUGAUGCUGUUACAUACACCGAGCACGCCAAGAGAAAGACCGUGACCGCCAUGGAUGUUGUGUACGCGCUGAAGAGACAGGGACGUACUCUGUACGGCUUUGGAGCUGCCCCGCCUGCUAAAGCUCCUAAGAAGAAAGCGGCGUCCAAACCCAAGAAAACGGGCCCAAAUGUCCGCGAUCUCAUCGUCAAAACUGUGACCGCUUCUAAGGAGCGACAAGGAGUCUCCCUCGCAGCCCUAAAGAAAGCUCUCUCUGCCGGCGGCUACGAUGUGGAGAAGAACAAUUCCCGCGUUAAAAUCGCCGUCAAGGCUUUAGUGCUCAACGGCACUCUGGUUCAGACUAAAGGCACAGGCGCCUCUGGUUCCUUCAAGCUGAACAAGAAGCAAGCCGAGCCCAAGAAGAAGCCAGCGGCCAAGAAAACUGCAGCAAAGGCCAAGAAACCGGCCGCUAAGAAGUCGCCGAAGAAGGUGAAGAAACCGGCCGCCGCGAAGAAGGCGACAAAGAGCCCUAAGAAAGCCAAGAAGCCUGCAGCUGCCAAGAAAGCAACAAAAAGCCCCAAGAAGGUGAAGAAACCAGCGGCUGCCAAGAAAGCAACUAAGAGCCCCAAAAAGGCGAAAGUUGCAAAGCCCAAAACGGUGAAGCCAAAGGCGGCCAAGCCUAAGAAGGCCACUCCCAAGAAGAAUCGAAAGUCAUUCAUUCUUCUCUUUGCUAAAGAUAAGAAGGAAGCAGUGAUCAACAUGAGCGGACGAGGCAAAACCGGAGGCAAGGCCAGAGCAAAGGCUAAGACUCGCUCAUCGAGAGCUGGUCUUCAGUUCCCAGUUGGUCGUGUCCACAGGUUGCUCCGCAAGGGCAACUACGCCGAGCGCGUUGGUGCCGGUGCCCCAGUGUACUUGGCCGCUGUGCUCGAGUAUCUGACAGCUGAGAUUCUGGAGUUGGCUGGAAACGCUGCUAGGGACAACAAAAAGACCCGUAUCAUCCCCCGUCACCUGCAGCUGGCGGUGCGCAAUGACGAGGAGCUGAACAAGCUUCUGGGCGGAGUGACCAUCGCUCAGGGUGGUGUGCUGCCCAACAUCCAGGCUGUGCUGCUGCCCAAAAAGACGGAGAAGGCCGCCAAAGUUUUACUUUUGCAAAGUAAGCGAGAGAACUCUGAUAAAAUGGCAAGAACCAAGCAGACCGCCCGUAAAUCCACUGGGGGUAAAGCCCCGAGGAAACAACUUGCUACUAAAGCUGCCCGCAAGAGCGCUCCCGCCACCGGUGGCGUCAAGAAGCCUCAUCGCUACAGGCCCGGCACCGUGGCUCUGCGUGAGAUCCGCCGCUACCAGAAGUCCACUGAGCUGCUGAUCCGCAAACUGCCCUUCCAGCGCCUGGUUCGUGAAAUCGCUCAGGACUUCAAGACCGAUCUGCGUUUCCAGAGCUCCGCUGUCAUGGCCCUGCAGGAGGCCAGCGAGGCUUAUCUGGUAGGUCUUUUUGAGGACACUAACCUGUGCGCCAUCCACGCCAAGAGAGUCACCAUCAUGCCCAAAGACAUCCAGCUGGCCCGCCGCAUCCGCGGAGAGCAAAAUAACAUUCGUCAAUCUGGUUGCCAACUUGUUAAUUCGGUCACUGAUAGAAUCAUGUCUGGAAGGGGCAAAGGCGGUAAAGGACUCGGGAAAGGAGGCGCUAAGCGUCACCGCAAAGUUCUCCGUGAUAACAUCCAGGGAAUCACUAAGCCUGCCAUCCGUCGUCUUGCUCGCCGUGGUGGUGUGAAGCGUAUCUCCGGUCUGAUCUACGAGGAGACUCGCGGUGUGUUGAAGGUGUUUCUGGAAAACGUGAUCCGUGAUGCCGUUACUUACACCGAGCACGCCAAGAGAAAGACCGUGACCGCAAUGGAUGUUGUCUACGCUCUGAAGAGACAGGGACGCACUCUGUACGGCUUCGGCGGUUAAACAUUUGUUAAUCAUUCAAAAACCCAACGGCUCUUUUAAGAGCCACCCACACUUUCACAAAGAGCCAGUUUUAAACUUUUCGAGU